rnacentral:rRNA from 1 species
AUUGAACGCUGGCGGCAGGCCUAACACAUGCAAGUCGAGCGGAGCGGCGGACGGGUGAGUAAUGCCUAGGAAUCUGACUGGUAGUGGGGGAUAACGUCCGGAAACGGGCGCUAAUACCGCAUCCUAUCAGAUGAGCCUAGGUAGGAUUAGCUGGUUGGUGGGGGAAAGGCCUACCAAGGCGACGAACCGUAACUGGUCUGGGAGGAUGAACAGUCACACUGGAACUGAGACACGGUCCAGACUCCUACGGGAGGCAGCAGUGGUGAAUAUUGGACAAUGGGCGAAAGCCUGAUCCAGCCAUGCCGCGUGUGUGAAGAAGGUCUUCGGAUUGUAAAGCACUUUAAGUUGGGAGGCGUUACCAACAGAAUAAGCACCGGCUAACUUCGUGCCAGCCGCCGCGGUAAUUC